rnacentral:rRNA from 1 species
CCUACGGGUGGCUGCAGUGGGGAAUAUUGGACAAUGGGGGGAACCCUGAUCCAGCCAUGCCGCGUGUGUGAAGAAGGCCCUCGGGUUGUAAAGCACUUUCAGUGAGGAAGAACGCCUGGUGGUUAAUACCCAUCAGGAAAGACAUCACUCACAGAAGAAGCACCGGCUAACUCCGUGCCAGCAGCCGCGGUAAUACGGAGGGGUGCGAGCGUUAAUCGGAAUUACUGGGCGUAAAGCGCGCGUAGGUGGCUUGAUAAGCCGGUUGUGAAAGCCCCGGGCUCAACCUGGGAACGGCAUCCGGAACUGUCAAGCUAGAGUGCAGGAGAGGAAGGUAGAAUUCCCGGUGUAGCGGUGAAAUGCGUAGAGAUCGGGAGGAAUACCAGUGGCGAAGGCGGCCUUCUGGACUGACACUGACACUGAGGUGCGAAAGCGUGGGUAGCAAACAGGAUUAGAUACCCCUGUAGUC